UUAGGAAUCUUCCACAAUGGGCGAAAGCCUGAUGGAGCGACGCCGCGUGAGGGAUGAAGGCCUUAGGGUUGUAAACCUCUAAAAGAGGGACGAUAAUGACGGUACCUCUUGAAUAGCACCGGCUAACUCCGUGCCAGCAGCCGCGGUAAUACUGAGGGUGCAAGCGUUAUCCGGAAUCACUGGGCGUAAAGGGCGCGUAGGCGGUCUGUUAAGUCCGAUGUUAAAUCCCGGGGCUCAACCCCGGAUAAGCGUUGGAUACUGGCAGGCUAGACGGUUGGAGAGGCUAGUGGAAUUACAAGUGUAGCGGUGGAAUGCGUAGAUACUGGUAGGAACACCCAUUGCGAAGGCAGCUCGCUGGACAACACGUGACGCUGAGGCGCGAAAGUGUGGGGAGCAAACC
rnacentral:rRNA from 1 species